AUCUUCCUAUUUGAUAAAAUAACCGGAAAAAGAACAAAUGAGGGAAAAGCAGAAUUGAAAGUCCACUGGUUGCCUUGCACUGUGUGUGGCAAAACUUGGGAUGACACCUGGGAGCCUGCCAGCGAGUUCCAGCAUUUUUUGCCAGAGUCUCCAAAUACCAACCAGCUUUCAGAAUGUCAAUUUUGAGGGUUUUGUCAAUGUUGUUCUUGUUGUUUUUUGUUAUUGCUGUAAUUCAUUAAAGUUUUUGUACAGUGCAUACCCUCUUUUAGUAUUUAUUUUGUUGUCAUUUUAUACACCUUUUGCAUGUUUUCUGAACUGCGUAACAGCCAGGUGGUGUAACAUGGAGAGGACAUGCUACAAACAUGCUGU